rnacentral:rRNA from 1 species
ACCUCGGAUCAGNUAGGAAUACCCGCUGAACUUNANGCAUAUCAAUAAGCGGAGGAAAAGAAACCAACAGGGAUUGCCCUAGUAACGGCGAGNGAAGCGGCAACAGCUCAAAUUUGAAAUCUGGCCCUCGGGUCCGAAUUGUAAUUUGUAGAGGAUGCUUUUGGUGAGGUACCUUCCGAGUUCCCUGGAACGGGACGCCAUAGAGGGUGAGAGCCCCGUCUGGUNGGAUACCGAUCCUCUGUAAAGCUCCUUCGACGAGUCGAGUAGUUUGGGAAUGCUGCUCUAAAUGGGAGGUAUAUGUCUUCUAAAGCUAAAUAUUGGCCAGAGACCGAUAGCGCACAAGUAGAGUGAUCGAAAGAUGAAAAGCACUUUGAAAAGAGAGUUAAAAAGUACGUGAAAUUGUUGAAAGGGAAGCGCUCAUGACCAGACUUGGGCUUGGUUGAUCAUCCAGGGUUCUCCCUGGUGCACUCUUCCAGCCCAGGCCAGCAUCAGUUCGCUGUGGGGGAUAAAGGCUUUGGGAAUGUGGCUCCUCCGGGAGUGUUAUAGCCCAUUGUGUAAUACCCUGUGGUGGA